AUACGUAGGUGCCAAGCGUUAUCCGGAUUUACUGGGUGUAAAGGGAGCGUAGACGGAAGGCCAAGUCUGAUGUGAAAGCCCGCGGCUCAACUGCGGGACUGCAUUGGAAACUGGUCAUCUGGAGUGCAGGAGGGGUAAGCGGAAUUCCUAGUGUAGCGGUGAAAUGCGUAGAUAUUAGGAGGAACACCGGUGGCGAAGGCGGAUUACUGGACGACAACUGACGGUGAGGCGCGAAAGCGUGGGGAGCAAACAGGAUUAGAUACCCUGGUAGUCCACGCUGUAAACGAUCAAUACUAGGUGUGCGGGGACUGACCCCCUGCGUGCCGCAGUUAACACAAUAAGUAUUGCACCUGGGGAGUACGAUCGCAAGGUUGAAACUCAAAGGAAUUGGCGGGG
rnacentral:rRNA from 1 species